UUUAUUUUUUUUUUGUUAGCGGUAGUCAUGUUUUAGUAGCAUAUACUUUUGUGUGCAGGUGUGAUAGUGAUGUGUUUGUGUAUGCGUGCUUGUUGCUUGUGCCAUUUCAGCUUGCACGUCACACGUGGAGCAGCAUGCCGGGACUGCGGUCAGGCUCCCGAAGAAGACAGCGACGACCGCAAGACCGCAAGGGGUUAUUUAAGCCGCCCUGGACCCCAUGUUAAUCAGAAUCGCUCGAGACUCGGAUUAGAGUCACGACUAUGCACCAAUGAAGUGAAUACAAUCCUUCCUCCUUUUUUCCAUCAUCAC
rnacentral:lncRNA from 1 species